AAACAUAAUAUUGUUUGUACAAUGUAUUUUGAUUCUACAUAAACUAUAUUAUUAUUGCUAUAGUUAACUGCUAGUAGUUUUGGACGAUGUGAAUCGAUAAAUUUUAAACGAUGUAUUUUUAAAUGUAAUGUAAGUUAGGCCCCGUUUCAAUAUAUUAUAAAAGCUAUUUAUUUUGGCCAAUACAGAGACCGGGCACUAAUUUAAUAGAAGUGUCGACAUUCUUUUUUUGACAUAUCAAGACCUGACCAAGAUCUUUUUUUAAUGCAAAAACUAUAGGAUAUUCAUCGCAUCGAAAUCAUCGAUGUAUUUUGUAAAUGUCCAUCCCUAACUUCAGUGUAAUAAAAACAUGGCAAUAAAAUGGAACAUUCGAGAAAUUAAUAACGAAACGAAAAUUGCGUUUAAUGUUAUUUAUUAGACAAUUAACGUUUAAUGGUCUUGUUUUCCUUGUUCGAUGUGUUUGUUAUCAUAUUUAUAAUAUUGUUUUUGCGAUAAAUAUAUUAAAAAUUAUGUAAUAUAA